UGAUGAAAGUGAAGCGGACACUGUACCUCUCUUCGGUUUUGUUGUCCACGCUGACAAAGAUGGAGGAGGUGGAGAUGGUUCCCAUGGAGGAGCCCUCGUAGAAGGACGGGUUGGCGGGGACCAGAUCGGGACGCAGACUGGCCAGGCUGCAGGCUCCGCCCAGUCGGUCCCUCCUGUCCUCCUCGUUCCUCUCAUCUGCCUGCGAUGAAAGGAUCUCCUGCGAGGACGACUUCAGAGCCGGGAUGGACGUACGAGUCCUCUUUGAAGGGGAGAAUCGAAGCGCUGCAGAGCGAAAAAAAGUAGCGACUGAGUCCACUCACGUGUCGUCUGUGGUGAGGGCUUCAGCAGCCUUGCCGUCUCCCUGGAUGGACUCCAUGGCGGUGGAGUAAAGCACCCUCUGACCCACAGGCCUCCUCCCAUCUCCCCCUGCCUGGCCCGGCUCCCCCCCUUCUCUCUGGCUCUGAUCCAGGACGUGCACACCCAGCAGCAGGCUGUAGUCCAUGAUCUUAAAGCUCUCCAGCACCUACAGCAGGGGUGUCAAACUCAUUUUUAGAUCGGGGAUCACAUAAAGCCAAGGCUCCUCUCAAAUGGGCCGGACCAGUAAAAUCACAAUAUAAAUAACGACAACUCCAAAUUGUUCCCUUUGGUUUUAACAUUUAUGCAUGUGCAUUACAUCUUACAAAUCAAAGUGUAUCUACAAAUGCACAAAACAUUUAGUCACAGAUAUCUGGAACUGACCAGUAUAGUAUUUUACUUAAAAACAACAAGAUUUAGAAACUAUUUUACAUUCAUUUCCACAUGUGUGAAGUAAUCCUGCCAACCUGAACUGACACACCACCAUACAAACUAAAGUGGGAACUAUUAAAGAAUAAGGUUAAGUUAUCCUCUGCCUUCUAAGUCUAUACAAUGUAUACAAAAUAAAUACAAGUUGUGA